rnacentral:rRNA from 1 species
GAUGAACGCUGGCGGCGUGCCUAAUACAUGCAAGUCGAGCGAACAGACGAGGAGCUUGCUCCUCUGACGUUAGCGGCGGACGGGUGAGUAACACGUGGAUAACCUACCUAUAAGACUGGGAUAACUUCGGGAAACCGGAGCUAAUACCGGAUAAUAUAUUGAACCGCAUGGUUCAAUAGUGAAAGACGGUUUUGCUGUCACUUAUAGAUGGAUCCGCGCCGCAUUAGCUAGUUGGUAAGGUAACGGCUUACCAAGGCAACGAUGCGUAGCCGACCUGAGAGGGUGAUCGGCCACACUAGAACUGAGACACGGUCCAGACUCCUACGGGAGGCAGCAGUAGGGAAUCUUACGCAAUGGGCGAAAGCCUGACGGAGCAACGCCGCGUGAGUGAUGAAGGUCUUCGGAUCGUAAAACUCUGUUAUUAGGGAAGAACAAAUGUGUAAGUAACUAUGCACGUCUUGACGGUACCUAAUCAGAAAGCCACGGCUAACUACGUG